rnacentral:lncRNA from 1 species
GCUUGCUCCCUUACCUCAUUCAGAGGAAGACUUAAAUUACAUGUGCCCCCAAAAUCUCCUACCACUCCAGCUACCACUCUCUUCUUCCCAGGUCUUUUUCUCCUUACCCUGCUGUACUCUUUGCCCCAUAGCUACCUCACAUAUUUCAUAUUCAUUUGUUUCUUGGUUUACUGUUUCUUACCCCUCCUAGACCGUAAGCCUCAUGUGGGUUAGGACUUUGAUAAUCUGCUGUUUUGCCCAGAACCCAGAAUAUGGUAGAAUACACACACACACACACACACACACACACACACACACACACACACACACUGUUAUACCUAGCAGGGUGAGGAGCUUACACACACACACACACACACACACACACACACACACACACACACACACACACUGUUAUACCUAGCAGGGUGAGGAGCUUGGUAGAUCAAUAAUAAAUGUUUAUUGAAUAAGAAACAAUGUAGAUCGGCAAGAGAUGUUGCUGACCUCUUAUAUUGGGCUAUUUGGGAGUUAUUUAACUUUUGGAUGCCUCAGCUUUCCCAUCUGAGAAGCCAAAAUUAAACACAGUAGAGUUUACUGUUUGCUAAUCAGCAUGUGUUUACUUUCUCUUCCAAAACUGAAGUUGCCAACCAAUACAUUUCCUACCCAGUGCUAUGAAUCUGUCCAAAUAAACAUGGGAAGUAGUGAAACAAUGACACCACAUGAAAAAUAUAUCCUUAUUCAUUAAAUAGAAUCCAAAAAAUUCUCUGGAAUUUAAUUGUAGCAAUGACGUGAGGACUGUCUGGUCUAUUAAGAGAGGAUAGUGACUUCCCUCUUCAGUUAGUCCAGCACGGAUGAGUGUGAUCUUAAGUGGCUCUACAAUUCCACAUGCAUCGUCCUAAAUCUAGAUACAUGAAAAUGGAUCAUUUCCUAUCAACCCCUCACUCACACCCGUGGACUCUAGGGCAUUUGUGGUAGAGUUUUAUGGUAAUUACAAACAUAAGCAGCUUGUCAGAAUUCAAAUAAUCAAUUUUAAUUUCUGUCUCAAUCACUAAAGAUUACUGACCACUAUGAUGAAAUUAAGGAGUGCUUUCUCUGGAGAUUGCAAACACAAGGGCAGAGAGAAGUUAGAAGCUUCUAUUUUGUGGUCAGUUUUGAAAAAUACAGUCAAAAGCAGUAGCCAUAAUCAACAUUAUAGAGAACCUUAAAUUCAUAAAGAUGCCAAUUUAGCUAUUAGUGGGCAGUUCCAUAUAAAACUGGUAGCUAUAAUGCGUACACAUGUCUUU